UCGUCCCUCACAACACGGAAGUCGUCAUUUCACCUUUACUGACAGUCUAUGCUCCAAAGGAGGAUUGAUUGCAAUAGAUGCAAACGUUGCACUUAAUUUAUUUUGCAUUAUUGAACAAAGGAUAAACAUUGUGAGCUAUUUUAUUCGAUUGUAUAAUGCUACAUUUGUCUCGUAGCAAGCGACUUUAGCUACUAUACUGGAUGUAUCUACUAGUAGUGAAAGAAACCAGCUAGAUAGUUGCAUAUUCCUCUACUACAAAACUCCAUCCACAUCCUGGGGAGAAGAAAGAGCUUCUGACAACCAUAGAUUACUCAUAUGUUCCAAACAAAAGAUGAACAGGAUUGUGUACAUGGAUGAUGACGGUGACAGGUCAUGCCUGCCCGUCGAAAACAGUGGGAGUCUCCGUUACAGAAGAAGCCUUACUGAGGCUGGCCGCCUGGCUCUGAACUCACCACUGGUGGGUGUGGCCAGGGACUUCCUGCUUCCUUCCGGGUGGUGUGGUGGGCCACAGGAUCCAUGUUUGCCUACCCAGAGUCCUCUGGUGCACCCGGCAUAGGCAAUGCCUGCGAAAAAAAUGCAUCCCUUUCAUUCUAUGGGAGCUGAGGUGAGACGGAGCCCGUGUGUGUGUGUGUGUGGCGUGGGUCUCCCCCGCCCUCCCAGCCAGCAGCCCAAGGCGAGGCAGACUGGUGAACAGGCGCAUCUAGUCUCUGAACUGAUCCUAACUGAACGAGGGUAAUUCCCUGUACUGGUGCCCUGCCUGCCAGAGGGAGCUGACAGAGUUCCCAGUUCGUGAAAGGCAAGCCUUCUGAAGCUCAGCUUCCGAAGCUGCAUCCAUUUCACCAGGUUCUGUAACCAACUGGCUUUAUAACCUGAAGGUCACAGGUUUGUUUCCCAAGUAGGGCACAGUACCCUUGUGCAAGCUACCAAGCCUACAGUGCUUCGGCAUCCUGCUGAAUAAAUGAAUGCUAUUUAAAAAAAUGCAAAAGCUGCGCAGGUUCACUUUGGAUGAGAGCGUCUGCUAAAUGCUGGUAAUGUACAGUAAUACAACAUAACGCAACAGGCAGCUAUUUGACCCGCUUCCUCGCUUCACUUACAAUUUUGCUCCCGUUUGCCUUUUCCAGCGUAGCCUCUACUCGACGUUUUGUUUUAUGACUAGGUUCAUCUAAUUAUUGUGUUAGCCUUUCGUCAUUCAGCUUUUAACCAGACCCCAACAGUGGCGUAUGUGAAUCUCAGAAAGUAUGCUAAUUUUACGGCUUUUUUUUUCUUUCUUUUCUUCUGUUGCUGUUGCCGUUGGCUACAUAAUUGUGUUAGCGUCUGGCCUUCCGCAGCAGGCUGCAGAGCUAAAGUCUGGGCCCUGAUUGGAUUGUGUGGG